rnacentral:sRNA from 1 species
AAAAAUAAUGAAAAUAAGUACAUUUUUUGAGAUAGUAAAGCUGUGGUGAAGAUAGACAUAAGUGAUCAAUCAAAAAUUGAAUAGCCUCAUAUCUAAAAUUAGUUGCAAACUCAAGACAUCGAUGCAGACACUCAUACUAUCACAUUAUACAACUCUUUAAUACCUCUCACCUACACAAACAUACACAAAAUAAAAAAAAAACUCAUUUUCAUUACCAAAUCACACUCUACACAAAAACACACCGCUCAUUUCUAGUUAUACACAAAAAAGGAAAACAAACUAUUUCCUUCUAACAACAAAAUGAAAGAUGCUAAUUAAUAAUAAUGGUUAGAGAAGAAGGUGAAGAAGAAGAAGAAGGUGGGCGGUGGAAGUGGAGAACUUUCUUGAAGGGGAAAGAAAGAGAGAGAGCGGCGGAUACACAGCUGUCUUCUCUUCUUCUUCCCCCCACUUUCACAUGCCUCUCCUUUUUCACUAUAUUU